CCGCCGCCGCGCCGGGGGGCACCCCGGGCUCCAGCGAGGCACUUCCCCGCCGCGCUCCGGCCCCGGCUCGAACGCGCCGCGCCGGGAGAGGGGAAGCCGGGCUCGCUCCUCGUCCUCUCGCACCGCCGCCGCUGGCCCCCUGUUUCCCAGGCGGCUUGCCCCGCUGGGGGAACGAGCCCGCGCCGCCCGCUCGCUCCGCACGCUGCCCGGCAGCGUCCCUCCCGCGCCGCUUCCCUUUCUGCACAUCCGCGCUCCCCGCCAGAGCAACUUCUGGCGCGCCGGGAGCCGGGCCCCCGUCUCCGUCCGGCACAGGGAGCCGCGGGGGGAAGAGCCCUGACCCUCGUUUCACCGGACAUGCAGCCCUGCGAUGAGACAGAAGGCGGAGGCUGGACCCCGGAGCGCGGCAGGGAGCAGCAGGCAGAGCCCAUUCCUGGGGCGGCAGCGAACUCCAGGAAGCCUGGGUUUACCUGCAACUAAUUAAAGGAACUUGCGAAUGAA